UGUUAUCGUUUAGGUCCUUCUCUCGAAGAUGACGGAUAGGAGGUCUUCGUCGUGGAAGGAAGUCGAUCUUCUUAAAGGUGAUUGUUGCUAAGUGAAAAAGAUGAUGACAAGGACAUUGCUGUAGAGCCUUAAUGGGCUGACAAAUGGAGCUUCUGGCAAAUAUGAAACAAGCAAUUAACACUCAAGAAAAGGAAAACCCUUACAGAAGUGGAUUCAAAAUUGGAAAAUUCCUCACUUGAAAGAAAAAUAACAACUCUGGAUAAAAAAGAUUGGGAUGCCAAAUCAAAGACAUUGUACUUAGAAAAGUAAGUGUAAUUUUAAGAACAGACCGAUCUUUAAUGGCGUCUUGAUUCAGUGAAACUGAGCUUAGAUUCUGUUUCACUAUUUCACAUGUUUUAGCUGUAAACUUGCUUUGACAGGUAAUUUUAAAAGCUCAGAAAGUGAUGCAGUGGUCUCAGUUCUGCACUAUAUUUUUUUCCCUCAAAAGUUUAGGACAUCUUUCAUUGUUUGUGAAGCUGCUAAGGUGUGGCCUGGCAAUUGCAGUGUUUAGUACAAAACAACUUUACCCAGAAUUUAAAACUCGAGGAACUUGUUUCAAGGCUAGAGCAAAGUU